rnacentral:rRNA from 1 species
UACGUAGGGUGCGAGCGUUGUCCGGAAUUACUGGGCGUAAAGAGCUCGUAGGUGGUUUGUCGCGUUGUUCGUGAAAACUCACAGCUUAACUGUGGGCGUGCGGGCGAUACGGGCAGACUGGAGUACUGCAGGGGAGACUGGAAUUCCUGGUGUAGCGGUGGAAUGCGCAGAUAUCAGGAGGAACACCGGUGGCGAAGGCGGGGUCUCUGGGCAGUAACUGACGCUGAGGAGCGAAAGCGUGGGGGAGCGAACAGG